UUUAUAAGAUGUGGCAUGGCCUUAUUCAAAAGGCCAAAGAUGGAGGCUUGGAUGUUAUCUAGACAUAUUUUUUGGAAUGGCCAUGAACCUUCUCUUAUCAAGUAUAAUUUUGAGGGUCAAUACGAUCUGGCUGAGGUAGGACUCAUUGCACAGGGAAUUUUGCUAAAACAACGUUCCAUACUUUCUCAACAUACGUACUGUGAAUAAGCAACCAACUCUUUUCUGCUAAUGUGCACAUGAUGCACCAAGUGGGGAUCACCAGACCUCUAUGCUGAAGGUGGUCCAUAGUAAGGUUCUUGUCAAAACAUGCAAGCCAUCAAAAUGUGUGUUUUGCUUUCAUUUGCGUAAAGUAUUGUGAAAUGAUUGCACUGAAAAAUUUCAUGUCCACUCCUACGCACAUUUUUGGCCAUCUAUUUGUUGAAUCCCAUCAUGGAUCAAUUAUGGUACUAACAAAUCACUUUUAUUAGGAAAUCCUAACCAUCCCAGCCAUGUCUUCCAAAUAUGAAUGGCUUAAAAAACAAGGUCAACUUAUAGGCGGGUGAAUCAUUCAAUCGAUGUAAUUUUUUUCACAACAGCCCAUGAAAUCGGUAUAAGACCUGAUGGACAAUGUAGAUCAAUCUAUUGGGUUGGUAUCUCAAUGCAACUAGGACACUAUUACACUGAGAUCAUUGAAUCAUUUCUCAUAAUUAACAUCAGCAACAAUACUGGCCUGGGUUUCGUCAGUUUAGGGUCGAAUACAGGGGAAUUCGGGUUGGGUUUGGGUUAGGCAACUCGGAAUGGAAUUCAGUUGGCUGACUCAGGUGUUCUUGCUAUUGAGCCUUAACCCGUCCCAAGCAGAUUAAAAAAACAGCAAAUAUACUGUUGUGUUUUUUUUUUUUUUUGGAGAAAUUUCAGUGACAGACCAGUGGUAGCUUUCAUAAAUCUAAAAUUUCCAUCUUUGGCAAGGCAAUUCGCAUAUUAGAAUUCUAAGAACUGUAUUUUACUAAUCAUUGGAGAAAAUGGAGAGCCCAUAGAAAAAUUAUGCUGAAGACAGCAAUAAGAAUUAGCCGAUGAUUUUCCUUUGGUUUGCUUGAGCUUAUAAUUGCAUUGCAUUGGGAUUAGUAAGUCUUCUAAAGGCUUAAGUUUUGAGUUUUUGGUUGAAUCGACAGUAUAAUUUCUUUAUAGUUGCUGAAAUUGAUUUCAAGAAAUUGAACGUUGAUGGUGUUCUUCAGAAUUUGCUUAUGUUCCAUUUAGAUUUUCUCAAGAUAUUGUUGAGGUUUAUGGUUAUC